rnacentral:rRNA from 1 species
CAAUUAAAUUACCAAUUGUUCGCCAAAUAACUACGAGUAAAAACUUAAAAUUUAAAAGACUUGACGGUGCCUCAAAACAACCUAGAGGAGCCUGUCUAAUAACCGAUACCCCACGAUUAACCCAACCCACCCUAGCCUGACAGUCUAUAUACCGCCGUCGCCAGCCUACCUUGUGAAAGUAACAAAGUGAGCUUAAUAGUCAUACACUAACACGACAGGUCGAGGUGUAACUAAUGGGCGGGAUCAAGAUGGGCUACAUUUUCUAAACCAGAAAACACGAAUUAACCUAUGAAAAAGAAACUGAAGGCGGAUUUAGUAGUAUGCUGGGAACAACAAACCUAACAGAAAUCAGCGCAAUGAGGUGCGUACACACCGCCCGUCAUCCCUGCCAACCAACAACUAAACAUACAUAAA